rnacentral:piRNA from 1 species
CAAAAGAAUCAUCUCGUGGAC